rnacentral:rRNA from 1 species
UACGUAGGUGGCAAGCGUUGUCCGGAAUUACUGGGCGUAAAGCGCGUGUAGGCGGUUGCCCAAGUCGGGGGUGAAAGCCUUGAGCUCAACUCAAGAAAUGCGCUCGGUACUGGGUGACUAGAGGACCGGAGAGGAUAGUGGAAUUCCCAGUGUAGUGGUGAAAUACGUAGAGAUUGGGAAGAACACCAGUGGCGAAGGCGGCUAUCUGGACGGUUUCUGACGCUAAGACGCGAAAGCGUGGGGAGCAAACAGG